GGACAUUAUCUGUGCGAGAGAAGGGAAGCCAGGAACCCAGAAAUGGUCUGCAGGGAGGUGAACUGGAAUGGCAAUACAUGGUACACGGAAGAGCUUUGCCUCUGACGAUGACCCUCAGCUUUCCUGCUGCUCUCUUCCUAGGUUUUGUUUCUAAGUAUCUGGGCUUUGAAGAAUGGGGGUGGAGGGAUUCAAAGAAGACUUUUAGGAGGAGCCAGUCCCACUAGCAGAUAUUGUUGCUCUAACUCUGCCUAAGGAGCAAUUUCUGGCCCUGAGUCAUGAUCCCAAACAGGAAGUGCUUCUGAGUUCCUCCAAACAAGGUUUUUGCUACUUCAGGAAACCAUAGUUGUUGGCUGAUUUAGAAAAAUUACAGCAGCAUUAUACAAUAAGAGCUAUUUCUGCCCUCUUGUCACUAAAGUAUAACAAUAUUGCGUCCGGAAUUGGUGGGUUCUUGGUCUCACUGACUUCAAGAAUGAAGCCGCGGACCCUUGCGGGAUAGACACCUCCCUGAAUAAAGCCAUCAUCUGUAAUAACGCUGAGAUCUGGAGGAAGAGCUCUGUAGCACUACUGCAGAGUUGCUACAUGAACCCAUCAGAUCCUCCCUCCAGGAACUCGAAUGUAAAUCCAUUCAAGAGAAGUCAACCCUUGGAAGAUGGACAGAAGGGAAAAGACACACAGAAAAUAAGCCAGAAAGCAUCCACAGGAAGCAGAAGCUCUGGCAAGCAGGAAUUAAGAAACAGAGAAAAGGAAAGUGGAAACAUAUGAAUGCAUGUAAACAAUAGCAGUAAAAGCAAGGCAGAAAGUAGUUAGUGCCCAUAACAGCAAAGGACUGAAGCAGGCAGACAGAUACCUACAUUUAAGGAGUAUCUGCCAGAGCAAAAGAAGUAGAUUGGGUAUAAAUUCACCUUAUGUGCCUGCAGUGUUUAGUGCUUGGUGAGGUUUGGUCAUGUUACCGCUGACAUCUGCUACCCCUGUGUGUCCUUAAAAUCAAUCCUUAUUAUCUGAUGUAACCAUGAACUUCUCUUUCAUUCCUUAUGGCUUAAAAUACCUUACCCACCAACUGUGCUAUUAAUGACUUGUGUGGCCCGAGAUAGGUCACUUCCCUUGUCUACCUCGGUUUUCUUGGUGACAAGAUGAGGGUUUGACCAGGUGAUAUCUAAGUUCACUUCCAGCUCCAAUGCAUAUUAUUUUGAACUUUAGCAUGAAAGGGUUUGGUCACAGUUCUAUUGCAAAAUCCUGGAAAUAUCACCACCUUCUUUAUUUCCAGCCCCUUCUCCAGCCACAGAGCGCUUUAAACUUGAGACUCGCCUCAUAAGGAAUCUAAAUGCAGUGCCACUGUGCAAAUUAGCUGUGCAGCAUCCCAGGGGCACCCCAAGCAGGCUUGCCCAGCCUCAUGCAAUGCUUUCUGUUGAGCUAUCAGGAGAGUGUAUGCUCUGGCCCCAUCUCUCCAUUCUCAAGAUACUUUUUCAACCCCUACUAGAAAGAGAUGAAAACAAACUAUGGGAAGUUGCAAACAUGUUGAUGGGAAUUGAGGUAAAAUGCAGAAAGGUUGCUGGGUCUGGUGUGGUUGGAGGUGACUAUACCACUGUCCGAAGGAAAUCUGGAAGGGAUGAUUUUACAGGUUUUACUUAAAAUUUCAUUUCUGGCCGGGCGCGGUGGCUCGCGCCUGUAAUCUUAGCAUUUUGGGAGACCAAAGUAGGCAGAUCACUUGAGGUCAGGAGUUCGAGACCAGCCUGGCCAACAUAGUGAAAACCCGUCUCUACUAAAAAUACAAACAUUAACCAGGACUGGUGGUGCGUGCCUGUGGUCCUAGCUACUCGGAAGGCUGAGGCAGGAGAAUCGCUUGAACCUGGGAGGCAGAGGUUAUAGUGAGCUGAGAUUGUGCUACUGCACUCCAGCCUGGGCAACAGAGUAAUAAUAAUAAUAAUAAUAAAUUUCCUCCCAAGAAGGAUUUAUAACAGAAUAAUCCAGCAUUUGCGUUUGUAAGACAUGGGCCCACAGGACUCUUGUGUUAACCUCUGCCCUCUCACACACUUUCAUCUGCUCCAUCCCUGCAUGAGUUUGGGUUUAAAGGAAACCUAGGCAGAGCUCCAGGCAGAACAUUUGGAGACCUGGAAAUGGUCUUGCCUGUGAGACCAGCUUAUUGUGUGACUGUAGGCAAAAACUUCUUGGGGUUCUCAGUUUUUCCACUUGUAUUAAAGAUGAUAUUGUCUAUUUCUUCUUAUGUCAAUGGAAUUCUAUGCCAGUUAAUGAGACACUGGGCUCUAUUGUCCCCAGUUUCUCAGUCAAUCCCUUGCACUAAGCCAAAUGUUCAGAGAGAGAUGUAGGUUAACUCUUUCAGGCCUUCAGGGAAUUGCUUUAUGUAUCACGAGUGCAUUGAACUAAAUAGCAUUCUUGCAUGGUAUGCUUAGUGCAGUACCGGAAUGCACUGAAUGGUAUGAAUAGUACUCUAGAGGCUUGAAAGAGUUAAUGGGCCUGCCUCUGGGAGUGCUGACUGAAUGCCAAGACAUGACAUAAGAUACAAGAAAGAGAGGCUAAAAAAUCUUUACAUGGGGGAAAAAUUUAGUGAUCCAUUAGUAACCACUGAACUGUACUUUCUUCUCACCCUGCCCCUUUCCCAAUCUCUCUCUCUCUCUCUGUCUCAAACACACACACACACACACACACACACACAAACACCUUGAUAUCAUGUUACUGACCAGACUGGGAAAACUAAACUGAGCUGAGGGCUGAAAAUGUGCCUUGAGUUCUUGGAAAAGGAAAUAAAUACACAUUACCCUGGACUGCCCCUUUGUAUUCAUUGGAUGGGGGAUUUUUUUUCCCCUCCUAUUCACAGAAGCACCAUUACUAACCUGAGAGUUAUGGUUGGUUUAUUUCAAACCUGGGAGCCAAUGAAUAAAUACCCCUCUGUGAGUCUACUAAGAAACUUCGAGUAACAUGUAGUAAAACACUGCUGAUUGCUCAUUAGCCAGAAUAUAAUGUCAAAAUUUCUAAGCUUGAAAUUCAAGGAACUUCCCUGCCUGAUUUUGACCUACAUUUUCUACCACUAGAAUGGAAGCUUCUUAGGAGCAAUGACUGCUCACAUUGUUCAUUAUGGCAUUAUGUGUCUGUCUUUUUGACCCUGAAGAUUUGUGAGCCCAAGGGCAGUCUGAUGUCCUGGUGUAUUUGGGAACUUUUCUGUUAAUAUGCCAGAACAGCUGCAGCCUCUUUCUCUAUGUCUCUUCGUUUUUUUUUUUUUUUCUGUGUCCUCAUUCUUUGUGCUCACUCUUCUCUUACCUCCACCCCCUUAAAUUGGCUGAAUGAAGAUUGUUUGGGUUUUUUUUUGGCUCAUGUUCAUGGAAUUCACUGAUCUUACCAUGUUCCCCAUCAUCCUGAAGCAGCUGGAUUGAUAGAAUGGUGGAAUGGCUUUUUGAAGUCACCAUUACAAUGCCAACUAGGUGACAAUACUUUGCAGAGUGGGGGCAAAGUUAUCCAGAAGGCCAUGUAUGCUCUGAAUUAGUGUCCAAUAUAUGGUACUGUUUCUCCCAUAGCCAGGAUUCACAGGUCCAGGAAUCAGGGGAUGGAAGUGGAGGUGGCACCACUCAACAUCACCCCUAGUUAUCCACCAGCAAAAUUUUUGCUACCUGUUCCCAUGACAUUAUGUUCUGCUGGCCUAGAGGUCUUAGUUCCAGAGGAAAGAACGCUGCCACCAGGAGA